UCUGCCGCCGUCGUGUCGUCGCCGACGUAGCUGCCGCCGCCGCCGCCGUUCAUUCUCCGGUCGACCACUGUCGGUGCUCGUUUGUGUUCACGAUACCUUAGUCAGCGGUUUCCGACACGAUCAAUUUCCAACGACGACGAGUAACUUACCCAAUCACAACGUAAUCAUGACAUCACCCGCAGCUUCACCACAAAAGCCAGCCAUCACCAACUCGACCGCGUCUCCAGUCCGUUUGCCGAGCGUACAGCCGACUCCCACACACAACUCGCAGCCCACCGCUGCACAGUCCGUCCAGGGAAAAUGGCAGUGCGCUCUGAGGGACAACCCGGUGAUCGCCAGCGGGACUAUGGCUUGGACGAGAGUGUGGAGAUUUUCCAAGCUCCUGCUGCAGACUGGAUGUUAGAAAAAUGCGACGACGGAUUUUCACACUAAAACAUUAUUACUCUCUCUCUUUCACUCUCUACCUUUCUCUCUUUUUCCGCCGUGUCAGCAAAAAGACAACCUUUUUAUUCUAGAAUAAAUUAUAUAGUCGUAUAUAUUAUAUAUGUACGCAUAAUUUUCACUAUAGUUCGGAGUAGUUAUUAUCGACGUGUAUGUAUAAUAUAUGACUAAUAAUAUAAGACUACGAUAAUGACACAUAAUAUAAUAUUAUAUAUUAUUAUAUGGACUUAGUGUGAUGUACGUUAAGUUAAAGAGGUUAGUUUAUCUUAUAAUAUAUUAUUAUAUAUUGUAUGAUCUACACCGUGGCGUAUUGUAUCGUGAUCCCUACCCACAUUGUCUCGUACCUAUAUGAUAAUAUGUAGACUUAGUACAAUAAUGCCACAAAUUUUAUUUGUUAACUCUCGAAUUAACGAUUUUUACUAUAUAGUAAGUGUUAUUAUUUUUUUUUUUUAGAAUUUCUUGAUAAUAUCGAUUAUUGUAAUAUGGCGUUAACCAAAGUUAGUUGUUUUUAAUUGUUAAGUAUUAUAUUCAAUCGAACGUCCGAAAUUCAAUUCAUUGAUUGUAAAUGUGUAACUGUUGUAAUGUGUAAAUGUAUUUAUAAUAUGUACACAACUAUUAAGAAACAUCUGAUCGUCUAUAUUUCUGGGUUAAUCUUGUAAUAAUAUAGUUUAAAACUAAAAAGCCUUUGCCAAGUAGAGAAAAUAAUUAUUUUCUCUUUAAAUCUAGCAUUAAUGUUUUGAAUAAAGACUUGCUACGUAUAGACGCGCUAUACGUGUUGACAGCAAAAUAUAUAAAGCAUAGGAAUAUUCGAGAUAAAAUACAUUUGUUUGAAAAAAUGAAAUAAUAUGAGUAAGGCCAAAGUAUUUAAUUGUUAUAAAUGAAAUCAAAAUGUACCAACAAUUCCUAUUUAUUUCCAAUAAAUCUAUCGAAUCAACAAUAGUACGACGAGUCGGUUAAAUUAUUGAACAUUCUAUAACCCAUACGAAACGUAACAAUCAUAGAUGAAUACAUUAAUGUCUAGAAUUCGGAUGAAUAAAAGAGUAUGACUUAAAUUGUCACAAGUAAAAAUAACAUUAACAUUUGUGACAUUUUGUUCGCCCCUUUGUAAUCCCUACAACAGUACGUAAUUUUAUUGGAUAAUUAAACAACAAUAAUGAUUAUUAUUAUAGGCAAUAUUGUAAUGACAGGGACGUACCAUAUAACUGUACUGUGCAAUUACUAAUCAUAGAUACUUAUACCAUAGAAUAUAGAUAUAAAAUUGUAAAAUUAGACUACUGUUUAAAGUUGUUGUGUGCUCCUAUUGUAGCAAUAAAAUUAAAAAUAUGCAACCGUUACCCGUAAUUGUUAGUGUACACGUUAAAAAUUUUACUUCUUUUAUAAUAUUAUGCCGGGUUGCAUAAACAAUCAUUAAACGUUUAAUGGAUCGAUAGUGAGCUAAAGAUCCCCUAUACUGCUUUAGUGACCAGCGAUUGGUUUAUUAAAGUUUAGUGAUUAAUUUAAUAGAUUUUUUAUGCAACCUGGGUUACUUAUUAGCAUAAAAAGAUAAGUGUUUUCCGUAAUUUGAAAGUUUGGAUUUAUUAGUUGUUUAUCAUAUUAUUAUAUUGUUAUCAAUUUAAUUAAUCAUAAUUCGUUAUUUGAACUUACUAAAUUAUAAGACAUUUUACUCAUAUUAUUUUAAAUAAGCACGUUGUUUAACUUCGAUACGUAGUAGGGAAUGUUGCGCAUUGCAGGUACUCAAUAAUAAACCAAUACUUUGAUUUCGUUAGUAAAUUCCCACAUGCUUCUCCGUUAGUUUUAAAAUUUGUUAAUAUUAUAUUCUUUAUCUCGUGAUAAAUUAUGUACAGACCAAUACUGUUUACUACUAUCGUCGUUUUAGACGAGCAAAUUAUAAUUACAACCUUAACAAUAAUACCAAAAACGCGUACCAAAUACCAAAUUUGUUUAUUACUACCUAAUACUUGCCUCGAUUUACGACUGUUGAUUUGUAUAUCUCAUAACUAACUUAAAGGAAUAAGUAAUUAUUGUUAUAAUUAUAAAUUAUAAUAUUUGCUAAUAUUGGUAAUACAUUUUUACGUUUUAAUGUAUACUAGUUUAUGUGACGUUUUAUAUUUUUAAAAGACAUUUUGUAGAGUGUUUCUUAAACAUUGUUUAUCAUAUGGAUUGUUGUAAGUAAAUUUUUACAAUUUAUUAUUAUUAUAAUUAUUAAAAUAUAUGAAAAUCACAAAUUUCUUUUCUAUGUUUGUAUACCUACUACCUUGAUUUACACGAAAUAAUUUAGAUAGAUCAUAGAUACCUACAUGGUUUAUAUUAUAUAAUAUUAUGUUUUGUAUAAUGUAUAAUAAUUGUAUAAUGGUGUGGCGCGAUGAUGUGUAGAUAUUUUCUAGUGAGAAUACUAAGGUCGUUUUUAAUUACCUAAUCAAUAUUCAAUAACAAUUAUACAUCUAUUGAACAAUGUAGUAAUUCAAAAUACGUAGAACACAUGUAAAAAAUAAAACAAGUACUGUUCACAGCAAUACAGUAUAUUAAUAGUA